UCGCCGUAAACUACUCCCUGCGGCCUCGGCCGUCUCUGCAGGUAUCCCACCAUCAACUUCGCUUCUCUGAGGCUCUCCUCGUCGCUGUUCUCUCUUUCUUCGUCUUGGAAGGAGGGCUUCAUUUGGCGUCGGGGGAUACGAAGGUGGUGGAGCUCGCCGUGAGUUGAUGCAAAGCUUCGCUCUUUCCUGCACUAGGCACAAUUACAUGGGUUCCUUGUCUACGAAGUGUUUGGAGAAAUGCCAAAGCAAGGGUUUACUUUCGAGAAGCCUCUUGGUUGCUGGGAUGGACCUAAUCGUCCAGAGCUAAGUGCCACAUACUCACCAAUCUGGAGAUUAAUAUUAUAUCAGCUGCGGAGGUUGACUGGCAAUUCUAGUUUCACUUUUGCUGAUUCACCAACAUCUCUAUGUGAUCGAAAGGUAUGAGAUCCACUGUCAUUCAUAAGGUCGUCUAAAGCAAGCUUCGGACCUUCUUCAGCACAAAAUCCGAGAUGAGAUCUGGAGCGAUGUUGACCAAGUUGGUGCCUUUGGCAACACCACCUCAAACCAAGAGUCGAAUGCUUUUAACAGGACGGAGAAGUCCACCUUAGCUUCACAGCAAUCCCCUCGCUAAAUGGAGCUGUCCCUCUCUGUCUUCACAAGCAGACAAAGCCCUUGGCCGAAUUGCCAUGCAUGAUCGAAACAUGGGACAUUCUGGAACUUUAUAAGCCUCCUUUCACGCCAAGGUGGUCGAUCAGCUUUUGUUAUGGGAGAGGCACUGCGGGAGAAGGGAUAAAGGAGCAAGGAACAGACCCACCUUUUCCCUAACACGAGUACUCAUCUUCUCCACCAGUGUGCCUUCCAACUACUCGAAGACAACAUGUUAUGAAGUGCUCACCUAUAAGGAUAACAACUAGGCUCUUUGAGGUGCUAAUGCUGCUCCAUGUCUAUGGGUUACCACAGUAGGAACAGUCAUGUUUACACUGCAUCUAUAUGAAUGAAAUCCAAGGAGCGUAUCUUUAGAGAUUUCUAGAGUACCUUUUGCAUGGCAACGCAUAUGCAACCUCUAACAAAGAAACUAAGUAAAAUGUAUUGGUUCUUACUCGAUUA
rnacentral:lncRNA from 1 species